UACAGAGGUCUCAAGCGUUGUUCGGAUUCAUUGGGCGUAAAGGGUGCGUAGGCGGCGCGGUAAGUCGGGUGUGAAAUCUCGGGGCUUAACUCCGAAACUGCAUUCGAUACUGCCGUGCUUGAGGACUGGAGAGGAGACUGGAAAUUUACGGUGUAGCGGUGAAAUGCGUAGAUAUCGUAAGGAAGACCAGUGGCGAAGGCGGGUCUCGUGGACGAGUUCCU
rnacentral:rRNA from 1 species